AAAAGUAUAGACGACUCAAUUUAUAUUUAAAAAAUAUAAGAAGUGUGGGUGUAUGUGUAUCCAUAGUUCAAUAGUUCAACAACGAUGGGCGACCUGUGCUCUCUUUCCAUUUCCAUUUCCAUUUCCACAUUCCUUAUCUUACUGUUGGUGUUUCCAGUCCUCUCUACUCAACAACAGCCAGAAGAAGAAGACAACCCUGUCAUAAACCGAUUCCAAACCUACCUUCGUUUCAAAACAGCCCACCCCAAUCCAAACUACACCGUCCCUGUCUCAUUCCUCAUAUCCCAAGCUCGCUCCAUUGGACUCCACACCCGCACGCUUGAGUUUGUUCCUGGCAAGCCCGUACUCAUUGUUACCUGGCCCGGUUCAAGGCCCGACCUUCCUUCUAUUCUCUUCAACUCCCAUCUUGACUCUGUCCCGGCAGAGCCCGAUAAGUGGAUUCACCCUCCAUUUUCCGGCGUACGAACCGCCGACGGCAGGAUUUACGGCCGCGGGGCCCAAGAUGACAAGUGCAUCGGUAUGCAAUAUCUGGAGGCCAUCAGGAAUCUUCGAGAACUCUGGGGAUACAAGGAGCCAACCAGAACGGUCCACCUGUCAUACGUACCCGAGGAGGAGAUUGGAGGGUUGGAUGGGGCCGCUAAGUUUGUGGCUUCAAAGGAAUUCGAGGAAUUAAAUGUGGGGUUUGUGAUGGACGAAGGACAAGCUUCUCCAAACGACGAUUUUAGGGUUUUCUACGCUGAUCGAUCUCCGUGGCACGUCACUAUUAAGGCUACUGGAGUCCCUGGGCAUGGUUGCAGGAUGUUUGAUGAUAGUGCCAUGGAGAAUUUGAUGAUCAGUAUUGAGUUGAUUACUCAAUUUAGGGAUUCUCAAUUUAAUUUGGUCAAGAGAGGAUUGGCCGCUCACUCUCAAGUCAUCUCUGUUAAUCCUGUGUUUUUUGAUGCUGGCAUUCUUACUUCUAAUGGGUUUGCUAUGAACAUGCAGCCAUCAGAGGCCUCGGCUGGGUUUGAUAUUCGGUUGCCACCCACUGUGGAUCCUGAGCUUAUUAGAAAUAGAAUAGCUCAUGAGUGGGCUCCUGCUUCAAGGAACAUGACAUUCCAGAUUGUUGAAAAAGGACCAAAUAGAGACUUCUGGGGUCACCCCUUGGCAACGUCAACUGAUGAUACCAACCCAUGGUGGUCUCUUUUUGUGCAAGCUAUUACAGCCGCAGGAGGAAAACUUGGGAAGCCUGAAAUCUUAGCUUCUACAACUGAUGCUAGAUUUAUAAGACAGAGGGGGAUUCCCACUUUGGGCUUUUCCCCAAUGAAAAAUACUCCAAUUUUGCUUCAUGAUCAUAAUGAGUUCCUGCAAGAUGCUGUAUAUUUAAAUGGAAUUAAGGUGUAUGAAUCCAUAAUAAAUUGUUUGAGUUCAUUCAAGGGAAUUGAAGAAUGAGACAAAUACAUCUGAUCCCUGUCUCGAUUGGAAUCAUGAGCUAGACAUGGGAUUUUGUCAGCAUGCAGCAUGGCUGGUGUUUCAUCUGCACUGAGCUCUCUGGGCACCUGAUACAAACAUCAAGUCCUUCAAUGCUUAAUUCAUGGGCUGAUGGAAAGCUUUAAUUGGAUGCUGGCCAUGAAAGGUACCUUGGCACUCUGGUUUACUUGCGUAGUUGCGUAGAUUGCAAUUUCAUUUUUGACUUAUAUCAGUGGGUAUUUUAUGUGUUUCCUCAGAGACUUUUCAGUCACUGAUUCCUUGUCAUGCAAUGUAGACAUUGCAAAUCUCAAUUCUUCAUGUGUGUUUUAGAGUUUUAGUUGCAUUUGGAAAUAUAAUGCGGAAUAAUAAUAAGAAUGUAGUACAUACUAUUGGGCAUUAGAUUACUAAGUGGACAUGAUGGGAAAGACUGGGAAGCCGGGUGUGUGGAUAUUCUCUUCUUUCAAAGGUAAACCUUCAAGACUGGGAAGCCGGUUGGGUGGAUCUUCUAUUAUAGUUAGGAGCGUCUGCAAUGUGACAAAGUGGUUAUUUUGCCUGUAAGUCGAUGCUGUUUUUGUUGGCACUAGUUAAGUCGGUUUCGGAGGAGGCACCCUUGUUUGACUAAAAAACAAAGAUGUAACGGUAUUUUCAUUUCUUCUAUGGUAAAAUUCAAAACUGUUACUAGUAGCGAAUUGGGCAUCAAUAAUUACAAAAUUGUCCAUCCCAAAAAACUUAAAGAAAUCUCAAAGCCCAUACCUUUGAAGUCAACUUUGGUUGAAUAUGUGAUAAGCCUUACCUAAGCCAUACCUCUGGAUAAUGGUUUUUUGUACUCUUUUUCCUAGAAGUAUCCGUUUCUCAAAAAUUGGGAUAUUGGGGAUUUUCUUCAUUACUCCGUUUAAUUUAAUUCCAUUGACAACUAAUAAUCCUACCCCCUUAACUUCUCUCCCAUUCUUUUCUUCUGACAAGAAAACCUUGUUUCUCAGAAAUGGGGAUUUUAUUUCUUUAGUCCCUUUCUGCUAUCUGAUCUACAACUUUCAAAUCAAACAAUGGGCCCAACCAUUGGCUGGCUUCUUGACUUGUCAACUAUCUCAAAUAACAUAUGAACCCUUAAUUUUAUACUACCAGUCAUUUUCAUUACACUAACGUACUACGGACUACUGUACUAAUGUACAAGUAUAUACUUCGUACUACAAUACUGAAAGAAUUGGACCAGGUCUCUUCUAGCUAGGAUAUUAUAGCUGCAUAUAUAUUGAUCAUUUCAGGAAUCAGAUUGCGUUCUGUAAUAUUUUAUGUCUUGUGACAGUAGUACGGAGUAUUAGUAUUCACCUGAACUUUACUAAGUUCCAAAUUUACUACGGGAAAGCCUAGAUUGUUAAUAUUGGAUAUGUUUUAAUCCAAGGUUAUUUUGAUUGGUAUAUAUAAUCAACAUUGAUAAGAGUUGUUUAUCAAAAUUUUAAACCAAUUCAUUUGCGCUUGAAAUAUUAAAAUGUGUGCUGCAGCUUUGCUAUACAAAAGAUCGUCUUAUCAUUAUAAGGUCACCUUAUAAUUAGGUUGGGCUAAGGGAAGAGAUAUUGAAAUAGAGUCACAUGCUUACAGUGGCUCACAAAAGUGGUUUUAUAAUAAUAAGAUGGUCUUACACAAUUGAUUGAUUCUCAAAACACAAGGCCGUACAAUGAACAAUGCUACCUAAAGAAUAUAGAACAUACCAUCCAAAGGUUUUGUAAUACAUUAAUUAAGCUAGUUAAGUUUUGUCUAUUUGACUUAUUUUGUCUGAUAUUAUUUGGUUUAAAGAGAAAUUAUUUGUUUAUGAAAUUUUCUUACAAAAAACUUAUGGUUGUAAUAUUAUAAUAUAUAAUCUUCUCAUUAUGUAUUUAAGUUUCUACUUCCUAAACUCUUUUUAAGUGCUCUAUUUUAACUCUUUGCACUAUUAACAUAAUCCACUUUAACCCAUAAUUGUGAUCUUUACAUUUAAAAAAAAAAACAUGUUAAUGUAUACUUUUUGAUUAUUAACUUUUUAGAAUUUAUACUUAUUAACUAAAAUAUUACAGAAUAUUGGUCAAAAUUUUGCAUUCACAUACGUGUCAGUAUGCCAUUAGGAUAAUUUUAAAAAUACAAAUUUUAAGAUAUGAUAGAUUGAACAAUGCAUUAAAAAGUGUGAAAAGUCAAGUGGAAUUCCCUACUUUCUUUAAGUGUAACAGUUUGAUCGCCACAUAGUUUUAGUAAGGUGAGUUAAAUAAAAGAAAAUAUAAUUUCAUAUACAAGUGAAAUUUAUUGAAAAUUUCAAAAAUAACCCUAUUACAUAAGCGAAGGGGGGAGGGGGAGUAAAAAAUUACUGCCCACAAUUUGAACUACCAGCAAUAAUAUACCUUGACAUGAUUCGGAAAAGUAUAAUGUUAAUAAUUAAUUGAUUGACUUAGGAAAAAAAUCAAACAAUUUAAAAUACUACAAUAUUGUCAAACCUAAACUCGAUAGGAUAUUUCAUAAUAUCGUGUAAUAGAAAAGAAGUUUUAUGUCCUCUAAACUAUGUUAUUUUCAUUUUUUUUCCUCUUAAUGUAUAUGCUUGACAAAAUCAAAUAAAUAGAAGAGUAAUUAAUUUUUACAACUGCAUAAAUCACGUAAAUAUGAGAUUAGUAAAAAAAUUUAAGCGAUGUGCGUUAAGAUAAAUAAUAAGAAAAAUAGGACAAUGUAAGGAUAGAGAUACAAUUAUAAAAAAUGUGUCCAAAUGAAGAAAGUGAUAUACUUAAAAAAAAAAAAAAAAAAAAAAAAAAAUCAA